UAACUACCAAUGGGGAUACCACAAAAUUCGGGAGAAAAAAGUGCAAAAAAAAAAAAGGCAACCAGGCAAAUCAUUUUGAAAUAGGUAUUUAUUUGAUAAUGCAAAAAGCUAUAUUUCAGAAAGGGUGAUAACGAAAGCAUUCUAAAUAUAAUUGGCUGAAUGUUGGUAUGGCUUACAUAAGGUUAUGGUCUCUUGGUUACAAUUACAUUUCAUUUUUAUAUAAUGUGUUGUCUCCUUAAUUGAGUUAAAUCUCAUAAGAUAAACACUUAUUGACAACUGGUUGGCAUUAAAAGUUAGAAAGUGUUUUUUUCUAAUCUACAUGGCACAUAUGCUGCCAUCACCGUCUCGCUGUAUAACGAACACAAAAUCAAUCCCAUGGCCCUGUGUAACCCAAACAAUGUGGGGCAAGAACAAAGAAAAUGAAGAUUCUGUUCAAAUGUGUAGAUUACACCCAAAAGCACAUUACUAAAGCAAACCAGAUUCAUGGCAUACAGAGAACUCUUUUUCGUAAAUGAUAAAAUAAAAAUAUAAUAGAACAUUUGUCUUAAUUAUAAUUGCAGACCCCUUUGAAAAAGAGCCAUCAUUAGGUCGUCUCACUGUCUCAGAGUAUAAGGUUGUUUAAUAAUUUCUUUAAAAACAGUUAAUCAAUUAUCUAAACUCACAAACUCAAGUGUUUUUCAUUUUCACAAUAUUGUAGCGGAGACCUUAUUUAAAAAAUCUGUGGCGUUUGUUGUCCCCACCAUCGGUUGUGACACAGCACACUUGAUUACAGGGAGGGUAUAAUUUAAAUCAGAGAAAUAUGAUUCAUUUGUUCUAAUCAAAAGGGGUAUGCUCAAACACAGCCACUUUUAGAUUUAAUUAAUGUGGGACGACCCUAUAAUGUAAAAUACAUACCAUCAUUACAUCGUUCUCAAAUCUAUAAUUUUAGUUUCCAUUGUUUUAGGGAGAAAAUGGAAUAGGCGAAAGCAUCUAACAUCUGGAUCGAUACCAAUUUCCUAAUAAUAUGGUGUUCAAAUGGGGGUAGUAAACAAUUUGAGAAGUUCUACAGCACUACUCUAAGGCACAUUUUAUUUAUCUUCGGUACAAAACUUUAGCAAUCCAUAGCAUAUAUUCUAUUGCAGCAGAUUAAAAUGAUUGAGCAUACAUUUCUAAUUAAUCUCCAGCAUGAGAAUACCAUUCUAAAUUGGAUACAUCACAAACGUUAAAAUGUGAACAUUACUGGAGCCACAUCAGUUUUGUUUCAAGUUAGCACGCUAGAGUUUUAUAGAUUGAUUUAGAGUUAGCUAGCUACCAAUCCUAUUGCGUCAUGCCUCUAAAAAUGACUGUCUCCAGUUAUGUUUACAUUUUGGCAUUUGUGACAUAUACACUUUUCAAGAAUAUUAAGUGCAAGGUGGUGUAUAAUACCAGCUCUCAUAAUGUGACAUACAUUGCAUAAAGGUUAAUAAGCAGUGCAAAAGACCAUGCACAAGUGUUUGAGUGGUGGAAUACCGAGUGAUAAUGGCCAAGAUGUAAUAAACACAAAUAGGAAAUGAAGUUGCUUGCACUGAUAACGUAGGAUCACCCUGCCUAACCUCUAUAACGGAGGAAGCAUCUUUGCAAUGAAAAUAAAGUGAAGCAUCCCCUAAGAAAAAAACAAAGUAGGCUACAAACACACUUACACACUAUGCCACUGCCUGACGAAUACGGCUAAGAAACACAUUGUGUUAAAGUCUGAGGUUCUAAAUUGGAGUUUGGUAUAGUUCCAAAGAGAUGUAAAAAAAAAAAACAUUCUGACUUGCAACACGUGAACAUGUACAAGAUACAAAACGAAUGCAGCCACUUCAAACUCAAAAAUCCAAAUCUGAAGAUGGCCAGACUUCCAAUAGGGGAUUUGAAAGGCUGGCCACACGAGACAAAAGGCGUCCGCAUGCUUCCCAUCCGAAACAGUUCGGCAUAGUGUGUGCAUAUAUUAGGACGACAUUGAUGUUUUUUUGAUUGUUUUGGUCUCCAGAAAGUUUUUUUGGUCUGUUUGUACACAAAAAAAACUUUGAGGCAAGCUGAAUUUCGGUAGCCGAAGUCUACGCCCCUUCGUCAGUCAUUGGUCAUUCAACAAUGUAAAAAUUUAGACAGAUUUCUUCAGUUCUCAGACUAUUUUGAGGAAGUGUAUACUGGCUAUGGAGUCUCAAGUUGGACAAACAGUACUAUCGCUGCUUUUUUUUAAGGGAGUAUGCAAGCACACUCGUUCGGUUCACCUAGCCGAUUUCUGCUAGGUGCCAGCCGAACCAAAGCAUGCAGAAGCCUUUAGAAACAUGUAACGUGCAGUGCAAGCUCUAAGCAUUUGUGGCCAUUAUUAUUAUUUUGAAGAUGUACCACCAGUAACGCCUUGAUCAGACCUACAGCAUCAUUGCGUCAAUGCUGCAUAAUAAAUUCUGAGGUCAAACUUUUUUCAUUACGUAAUACAAUUGUGUUUCUGGAUGUGUGCAACAAGUUCAACAUUCAACUUUUGUUACUAUUUCCGUCAAGUAUACAAAUACAAUUUAAUGCAUACGUUGGGUAAAUCCAUGUAUGCGCCACACAGAACACACUGCAACAAUGCGUUUUGGUGUACCAAUGACGCUCUUGGUCUGAUCGAGGAGUUCAGACUUUUUAUGUUACGCGAGUAGCCUACUUUAUUUCAUCAAAUGUUUUGAAGCUGCAUUUCAUGAACUGCAUUAUUAUUUUAGAUUUAUUUAAAGCUCUCCUUUUCCACAAUUUUUUAACAUCACCCUUCUUGAACUCCUUGUUACUUCCAGAGGAAUGAAAGAAGAAUAUCUGAAGCAGCAAAGAAUGAGAAAUAUCUAUGAAUGUAGGAAAAAAUUAUAUAUGGUCAGAAUUGUCAUAAGUGGCAUUAAAAGGCAAAAUGAGCAUUGACAGUAUGAAAUAAUUUCAGGAUUUUCACAUCAAACAGUGGGCAUAACCCGUCUCCCUCAUGUGGCUAGGAAUGCAAAGUGCUGCAGUUCUGCUUGCUCCACUAAGCUUUGAGGGCAGGAAUGUUGACUGGAUCCAGUUUCAGCAUCUUGAAGUAGGACACAAGUUGAUUGGGCACUUCAGCCAAGACACUCUGGGCGAGGGCUUCCUUAGGGGCCUGCAGAGGGCGGAAGGACAGUGAGAAGGAUAGAGCUCCAAUAGCAGUGCAAGAAAACAUACAAAUAAAUUCAAGAUAGAAAAGUGUGUAAAAUCUGUCAAUAUCUCGCCAAAGUGUUAUGGAAUGGUGCCACUGAUACUAUUAGACUAAACUGAUGUACACUUGUGAAUCUUCUCAAUUCCUCGCAAAAAUGGUGUGGUACUGACAACACACUUCACAAUGACACAACCGCAGAUUAAAAUAAACAUACAUUGGCAAACUGUCUGAGAGGCACAAACUGCACAAUAUCCCUGGUCACGGGCUCGCCACUCAGGGACUUGAGUACGCCGUCGUCUCCAUCUAGCAGCUCCAUGGCCUUGAAGUCUGCUUCCCCCACCCCGAUGAUGAUGAUGGACAUGGGCAGCCGUGAGGCCUUGACGAUGGCGUCACGGGUCUGGUCCAGGUCCGUGAUCUCGCCAUCGGUGAUGAUUAGCAGGACAAAGUAUUGCUGAGUGAGUUAAGAGGACAGAACAGUUUGUUAAAUUUUAUUUAGUUUGAAAUGAACACAAAUGCACUAGACAUGGCAAAGCCUUCUGCUUUCCACUGUGUUCAUUCUGACCAAGACACUUUUUCAUAACUGUUGAUUAGGCUUGUAUUGUAAAUGUCUAAUUUGUAUCAUGUUUGUACACUGUGCCUUCGGAAAGUACUCAGGCCUUGACUUUUUCCACAUUUUGUUACGUUACAGCUUUAUUCUAAAAUUGAUUCAAUUGUGUUUUUUCUCUCAACAAUCUACACACAAUACCCCAUAAUGACCAAGCAAAAACAGCUUUAGACAUUUUUUCAAAUGUAAAAAAAAUAUAUUCUGAAAUAUCACAUUUGCAUACAGUACCAGUCAAAAGUUUGAAUGAAUUGGUGUCCAAGGUUUUUUUUUUUUUUUUUUAACUAUUUUCUACAUCAUAGAAUAAUAGUGGAGACAUCAAAACUAUGAAAUAACACAUUUGGAAUCAUGUAGUAACCAAAGUGUUAAACAAAUGAAAAUCAAUUUUAUAUUUGAGAUUCUUCAAAGUAGCCACCUUUUGCCUUUGACAGCUUUGCACACUCUGGGCAUUCUCUCAGCCAGCUUCAUGAGGAAUGCUUUUCCAACGGUCUUGAAGGAGUUACCACAUAUGCUGAGCACUUGGUUACUUUUCCUUCACUCGGAGGUCCAACUCAUCCCAAACCAUCUCAAUUGGUUAAGGUCGGGUGAUUGCGAAGGCCAGGUCAUCUGAUGCAGCACUCCAUCACUCUCCUUGGUCAAAUAGCCCUUACACAGCCUGGAGGUGUAUUUUGGGUCAUUGCCCUGUUGAAAAACAGAUGAUAGUGGGACGAAGCAUAAACCAGAUGGCAUGGCGUAUCGGUGCAGAAUGCUGUGGUAGCCAUGCUGGUUAAGUGUGCCUUGAAUUCUAAAUAAAAUCAGUGUCACCAGCAAGGCACCCCCACGCUUCAGGGUGGGAACCACAUGAGGAGAUCAUCUGUUCACCUACUCUGCGUCUCACAAAGACACGUUGGUUGGAACUAAAAAUCUCACAUUUGGACUCGACUCAAGGACAGAUUUCCACCGGUCUAAUGUCCAUUGCUCGUGUUUCUUUGCCCAAGCAAGUCUCUUCUUCAAAUUGGUGGUUUCUUUGCAGCAAUUUGACCACGAAGGCCUGAUUCAGGCAGUCUCCUCUGAACAAUUGAUGUUGAGAUGUGUCUGUUACUUGAACUCUGAAGCAUUUAUUUGGGCUGCAACCUGAGGUGCAGUUAACUCUAAUGAACAUCCUCUGCAGCAGAGGUAACUCUGGGUCUUCCUUUCCUGUGGAGGUCCUCAUGAGAGCCAGUUUCAUCAUAGUGCAUGAUGGUUUUUGCGACUGCACUUGAAGUAACAUUCAAAGUUCUGGAAAUUUUCCAGAUUGACUGUCUUUUCUCUUAUGUCUCCCCCGAGUGGCGCAUCAGUCUAAGUCACUGCAUCUCAGUGCUAGAGACAUCACUACAGACACCCUGGUUCGAAUCCAGGCUGUAUCACAACUGGCCGUGAUUGGGAGUCCCAUAGGGCGGUGCACAAUUGGCCCAGCGUCAUCCGGGUUUGGCCCUGUAUUUGUAAAUAAGAAUUUUUCUAAAUUUCCUAGUUAAAUAAAGGUUAAAUAAAAAAUAAAUUAAAAUGUGAGCUGUUCUUGCCAUAAUAUGGAUUUGGUCUUUUACCAAAUAGGGCUAUUUUCUGUAUACCAACCUUACCUUGUCACAACACAAGUGAUUGGAUCAAACACAUUAAUAAGGAAAGAAAUUCCACAAAUUAAGUUAAGGCACACCUGUUAAUUGAAAUGCAUUCCAAGUGACUACCUCUGGUUGAGAGAAUGCCAAGAAAGUGCAAAGCUCUCAUCAAGGCAAAGGGUGGCAAUUUGAUGAAUCUCAAAUAUAUUUUGAUUUGUUUAACACUUUUUUGGUUACUACAUGAGUUAUUUCAUAGUUUUGAUGUCUUCACUAUUAUUCUAUGAUGUAGAAAAUAGUAAAAACAAAUAAAGAAAAACCCUUGAAUGAAUUGGUGUCCAAACCUUUGACUGGUACUGUAUGCAAAUGUGAUAUGUUUGGUUUUUAUUGCUUUACUGGGAAGCCUAUCAGAAGUAGACAUGCUCAUGUUAUUUAUAUUUGAGCUGAUAGUGCAUGUGAGCAGCACAUAGUGGACUUCCUACUAGGGCACACCGCCUCAGUGCUAACAGUAUAACUCGGGUUCAUAUGCACAUGAUUACAGCAUACAAUAGCUGUAGAAUCAGAGGCAUUUAGGGGGACAUAAAUUAAGUUACUUACAUUGUGUCUGCCAACGCCCCUGAGAUAAUGUACAUUUGCUGCAGCAUGACAACUCAGCGACACAAUGGUAGGGAUUAACCUGUUUAGGAUAGGGGGCAGUAUUUUCACAGCCGGAUAAAAAAAACGUACCCGAUUUAAUCUGGUUAUUACUCCUGCCCAGAAACUAGAAUAUGCAUAUAAUUGUUUGAUUU
rnacentral:lncRNA from 1 species